GCCAGCAUGGCUUAGUGGUUUGAGUGUUGGACUAUGACUCUGGGGACUAAGGUUCAAUUCCCUGCUUGUC